UACGAAGGGGGCGAGCGUUGUUCGGAUUUACUGGGCGUAAAGGGCGCGUAGGCGGCGGGUCAAGUCGAGUGUGAAAGCCCCGGGCUCAACCUGGGAAUUGCGCUCGAGACUGGUCUGCUUGAGUUCGGGAGAGGAGAGUGGAAUUCCCAGUGUAGAGGUGAAAUUCGAUAGAUAUUGGGAAGAACACCGGUGGCGAAGGCGGCUCUCUGGACCGAGACUGACGCUGAGGCGCGAAAGCGUGGGGAGCAAACAGG
rnacentral:rRNA from 1 species